rnacentral:lncRNA from 10 species
AUCUCAUCCACCUAGAAUUGAACCCUGGAUCAGGUCCAUACUCAACCAACUCAUGCAAUUGCCACCAAGGGCUGAGAGUGGUAAUAGGCUUUCCCUAUUACCUAGAACAGCCCUAUAAGGGGCAUACGUUCCUUUUAUAGAUGCAGAAAUUAGAAGUCAGAUUGCUUAAGUGACUUGCCCAAGACCACAAAGGUAACUGAGACACAGGUCUUUUUAUUUCUAAUUCAGUAUUUUGCCACCACACAAAGGCCACCUCCUUCUUUGAAACCUGGAAUGGUGCCGAUUGCUCUAAGGAGUCCCACCAUGGCAACUGGGAGGAAGAGGAGAGGCAGGGUGCCAUUAGCAGCCACUGUGUGUCUGGCUUGAAGCAAGCCUUUUCCUCCACUUCUCCUCCCUUGAGAGAACUCGGGAAAGCAGCAGGCAGCCCAGAAUGGCGAUGGGAAGAUCCAGAGGCAGCAAAGGCUUCUCUCCGCCAUGUGAAAGGCCUGAGUUUAGAUACCUCAGGGAAGUUUUAAUGCCAACCUUCUGUAAAACCCCCAUUCUCUAACGUAUGGCUUUAAUUAACAAUCAUGUAUCACUAUUGGUUUGUUAAUCAUAGCAAAUGGACCAUACUCCUGUAAGAUGUUAUCAACAGGAAAAAUUGAGGGAGAGGUAUAUGAAGCUCUGCACUAUCCUUGCAAUUAUUCUGUAAAUCUAAAACUGAUGUAAAAAAAAAUAACGUUGGGGGAGGAGCAAAAAGAAAAAAGUUUCUUUUUAUUUAAAAAAACCCUUAUUCUCCACAGCCACAUCCAUAUUUCAGAAUUAUUCUUAGAAACUUCCAGAAACAAUUCAUUUGCUGUAUAUAACAUUAUGGCCUAGAUUAAACUGAGCAGUAAUUAUUAAUGCUUAAUGUUAGUGUGGAAGCUCCAAAAUUAUAUAUUAGAGUGUUUGUGUAACUCUAAAUCUUAAGAUACAUGUCAGUGAUACCCAAAGUUUAUUUAUUUUUUUAUUUUAUAGAGAAAACAUAAUUGACAAAAUGGUUACAUACUUUUUAAACUUUGUUUUCGACAUCUUUGGGAAUUGUAGCCAUUGAACCCCAUGUUCCUGAUUCAAGUUCCUCUGUGCAUCUCGUAAGAGUUGUUGAAUUGCAGUCAUAAUGCCUGGGAUUGAAGAAGAUGCUUCCAAGGGGCCAAUCUCACAAAUCAGCAGAUAGGCUGACCAGUCUUUUUCACUCUGUUCUCAGGCAUGUGAAAGCGUUGUCUGGUCCUAAACAUUAUGUUCUAGUUAUGCCCCACUUGUUGAGGGGUUGAGGGUGGCAUUGAUGCAGUCUCCAUGCUUUAACUAGGCUGUUAUUCCCUAUUACCUGCCUGCCCCAGCUUCCGACUACCACCCAGGUUAAGAGGAGCAUGUCUGAUGAAGAAACCACCUCCCUUAGUCAAGAUGAUUCAACUUCAUUCUACUUUCAUGCCCUUUCUCCAGGUGGAGAUCUGAGGGUCUGAGGAGGAGACAGAGAGAGAAACGGAUGCAAAAAGGCUCAAUUCUCAGGCUCCUGUCCCAACAACAUCAGUAUUAUUUUCAUAAAUUUAAUAAAUGUAUAGCUUUAUAUUAUAUAUAAAGUCAUAUAUAUAAGUACACACACACACACACACACAUAUAUAUGUAAAACAAUGUAGAAAGCCUGGCCAACAUGAGUUUCAUUAUUAUCCAGAAAGUCAGCAGGGGUUGGAUGAGCUCAUUCACAGAGACCCCUGGGUUUUAGGAGCAGGGAUUUUUAUCCCUCUGGACUGGGAGAGUUGGGAAGAAUGAAAGGAUCCAAGCUUUACCAAAUUCAGACUCACAUUUUAGUUCCCAGCCAAAGGUCAUAUUGAAGCACAGUGAGAAGCAAAGUUUCCCUGACAAAGGGGGUUGGACUUGGAGGUUGGUUCCCCUAUUUAGAGUCAGACAAUGGGAGGGCAGUUUAUUACUUUCACAGCAUGAUGACAGUGCAAUGCUUGGUAAAAAAACAAACAAACAAACAAACAAAAAAACCAGUUCUCAGGACAUUUAGAAUUUGUUCUUUCUCCCUGCCAUGUGCUUCUGGGAUGCUCCCAUAAAUCCCUUCUCUUAUCUGGAUACAGGGACAUAUUGACUAAUCCUGCUAGGGAUUGGGAUCUGGAAAAAGCAAUUUCUUCUUUGGUUUGUGCAUUUUAAAAAUGCCUGUGCAAGGACUAUGAAC